rnacentral:rRNA from 1 species
CAGCAGCCACGGUAAUACGUAGGGUGCAAGCGUUAAUCGGAAUUACUGGGCGUAAAGCGUGCGCAGGUGGUUUGUUAAGACAGAUGUGAAAUCCCCGGGCUCAACCUGGGAACUGCCUUUGUGACUGCAAGGCUGGAGUGCGGCAGAGGGGGAUGGAAUUCCGCGUGUAGCAGUGAAAUGCGUAGAUAUGCGGAGGAACACCGAUGGCGAAGGCAAUCCCCUGGGCCUGCACUGACGCUCAUGCACGAAAGCGUGGGGAGCAAACAGGAUUAGAUACCCCUGUAGUCCCUGUCUCUUAUAC